rnacentral:lncRNA from 1 species
CUAGAAACUGGUACAAUACAUUUUGUUUAAAAGUCCUGAGUAUAUUUCUUUUCCUAUCAAAAGUUGGCUUUAUUGUCCUGGAGCACAUAAUGGAAUAUUGAGGAUCAUUUGGAAUAGAAUUUUUACUGGUGUGAUUCUGAUUCAUUCUGCAGAUUGAGCACUCUGGGAGAGAAACUAGACAGGAUUCCAGGUGUGUACUGACAUGUCCAGUGGUCUACCUCUUUUAAAAGAGCCAUCUGUGGGAUUAGAAGCAUUAGGGAAGAUAUUGUUGGUAUAUGAGCAGUGCCCCUUCAUGUUCUGAUGUACCUGAACAAGGAAGACCAUAGAUUAUGAUUAUUACUCUGGAAUUCCAAAUCCUGACUGUGCAAAGCUCCAUGGUGAUGAAACAAUCAAGAAAAAGAUGAUGGAUACAAGGGGAGCACAGGUUCAGCGUCACAGU